rnacentral:lncRNA from 1 species
UUUAAUUUUUUUUUUAGGUAAAAGUCAUAACAUCACGCUUUCACCACCAGUCCACCACGCUACGAGCUGUUUCCUCGUGAAUCGAGUUAGCUAGUGUAGAGUAAAUAUCAAAAUAACACUAUUUUUACAUAUCCGUGGAACAUGAACACCUCUUUCAAAAAAAAAGAUCACCUAGGACGCUGGAAAUUUUUGGGUAUGACUCUUAAGUCCAUGUGAUCAAUAUGCCUGUGUUGGAAGACUUUCCUCAAAUACUCUAUCCCUAGCAUUGUCAGCCUGCAAAUAACAAAGCAAAACAAGUAAUAAGAACAUAUAUUUAGAUUAUGGAAAUAUGACGAUGUUACUUAUGUGUCACAAGUUUCAUUUCAAUUGGAGUUUGGUUUUGCCGAGUGAAAUACUCAAAAAAUAUAGUCGUGAAUAACUACUUGUUCAAAAGUUCUAAACCCUUCCCGUUGGAUUUCAGAAUGUGAUUAAUAUAUGUAAAUAUAUUCUAAACCUCAAAUACCAAUACGACCUCAGCAACACUUUAUUUGAACUUUACAAUAUAUUGAAAUACUUUAUAGCCCAAACCAAAGUGGAUGAACUUUUAGGGCAAUUCUUUUGUUUUGGGGGAUUACUAACUGGUGAACAUUCACUAAAUGCUAAGUUUAGUGAACAAAAACUAGAAAAUUAUUUGAAUACUUUAAAAAAAUAUUUAACUAGUUUUCUGAUAUAAUUGACAAUAUUAGCAAAAUUACUGAACUAGAUUUCAUUAAUUUUAACAUCUUCCAAAAUUUGUAAAACUAUGUUCAAACUUUUGCACCAUUUUUUUUCAGAAAUUGUGCAACCAGGUUUCAAAUUGCCUGGUUUCAAAAAAUGUUGAGGGAAAAUAAUUAUCUAGCAAAUUUUCUUUUCAGAAACAGGGUCUCUAUCCCUAGCCAUAUUGAGUACUCCUUUUCAUCACCCAAGGCUAAGGGAAUAGAGAGAAGCAACAAUUAUCAGAAAGGAAAGGAGAACCUACCAUCUUCCCCCAGUUUGUCAUUGCAGUGAUCACUGAUAGGAGAGUGACCUGCGUAGCUCCACCAGCUAUCAUGCCAAUCCAGAACCCAGCUCCUCCUAGAUGCAAUGCAAAACCGAGAACAAGCGCCACAGGAAUGCCAACAAGAUAGAAUGCGCCCAGGUUAACAUAGGCACCUAAAUGCUGCCAUCCACAGCCUCUAGAAAUACCUGAUGGGAAAAAAAAUUGAACCAGACCUUAGUUCAAUUGUUUAUACAGUGCAACUGACAAUAGAUUAUUGUUCAUGGAGGGCAGAAGUAGAUACCUGAAAGGACUCCUUGGAGGUUGUCAGUAAGAACUGAAAUGGAAAGCAAUGGCACCAUUCUGGUGACAUAAUUUACAACCUCUUCCUCGUUGCUGAAAGCAAUUCCGAUGAAAUGGCGCAACGAUAGAAGAGUUACGCUCACCAGAACUGCGGUGCAAAUUAUAAUGGAUAAGGCGACAACUACUACUAGGCGGGCGCCAUCUGGGUUCCCUGCACCUAGCUCAUUUGAUACACGCACGCUGAAACAUGGAAACAGCAGAUAUUAUGUCAUCGAUUGUAGAAAGCGAUAUGAUUUGAUGAAUGAUGAUAACAACAUAUGCUUGGUCCUACCUUGCAGCUGUUCCAAUGCCAUAUGGGAGAUUGUACACCAAUACUACUGUAGAUAUGCUGUUCAAAAUUCAAAUAGGACAUUAAUUUAGUAGGCUUUGUAGCACAUGAUUAAAUAGCUUCAUAGUUACAGUUAUCCCUACCAUAUAGAGAGCACAGAAGUUUCAAGUGCUGGAUUUGGUAAGAUCCCAGAAAGCAGAACAAGCAGCUCAUAUGACCACCAUUCAAGACUGUAGGCAAGAAAAUUGAUUAAUUCUCACCAAAAGAUUUCGAGUUCAAAAAUAUUUUUUAGGUCACCCUAAGUGCAUGUAGAAAAUUCAAAGGUUAUGGAUAAGAGAUGGGACUUCUUAAUGAAGUAUGUGCAUGUCACAUUCCCGAAGAAAAUUGAACAGGAUUUGCAGUCCAAACUGUGGAAAUGUCAAACAAAGGCAUCAUCUAUAUGGAAAUAGGAGAGUAACAUUUCCUUACCAAAUCAUAAGAGCCGAAGGUACAGCCAACCGCAUGAAAUUGCCAAUUCCUUGAAAAGUUUCCCACGUGGGUGCAGCACGAGUUUUCUCACAAGAAGGUGAGAACUUAAUAUAAAGACCAAGGACUGUGACCUCAACCCAAUCACAGAUGCUGACUGCUAAAGCAGCUCCAGCAUUACCCAUCCCAACUUUGUAAACCAUGAACCAGCACAAAGGAAUGAAGAGAGUGAGUGUUGUCAAGGAGCUCAGAACCAUGGGAAAAAUUAAGCUCUGAGACUGGAGGAACUUUGAAAGGCAUUGAGCCACACUGAAGGCGAAUAAACCAGGGAUAAGCCACAAGGCAUACCUCCCAGCCUCACUUGCUAUUAGUGGAUCCUGACCUAUGAAAGGAAGUAUGUCCGGGAUGAAAACCCAUAAAAUGGCGAUGGGCACACUCACAAUAAGGAGUACAGUUAUAGACCUGUAGGUAAAUAAAGCUAGCUUAUGGUACUGUUCUGCCCCGUAGGCCUGCCCACAAAUAGUUUCCAAUCCGCAUGCCAGUCCCAUCUAAUCAAAAGUACAAAUGUAUCAGAAUGAAGCAACGAAAAUAUAAAUAAUACAUGGCAUAAAUAGAAACCAAGCAACCAGGAUAAAGUACGGAAGCAAUCAUUAUCUGAUUAAUUUUUUUUGUCAGCCAGGUCUUCAAAUUGGUUAUUCUAUCUAUCCGAAGAUGGGGUUUUGUAGUUUGAGAAGGGUAUGGAGGAAGAGCAUUGCUACAAUUUGAGGGCUAAAAACUAAAAAGGACUUGAAAGCAAAACUGUUUGUGAUACAAUUACCAUCUGAUCAAGCUCCCAACUCACAUCAAGUUCGUAAAAAUAUACUCUCUAGGUUCAUUUAUGUUUGUCCUAAGUCAAACUUCUUUAACUUUGAUCAAGUUUAGCCCUCCUGUUUGACCACUUUCUGCUGUUUCCAUGUUUCCAAGUUUAGACUUGUACUUCCAACCCACUUAGUGCUCAGUCUUCCUAAAGGAGUGGAUGGAGCCCAUGUAACUGAUGCAUCUUACUUUAGCUUAUAUAACUAAUAAGUAAUGCAACGAGAUUGAGUAACUUUUGGUCAUCAUCACGCUCUGCGUGCCUUUUGACGAAGUUCUUCCCUCACUCCUACCAGUGCCUCUGGUCAGAGCGGAGAUGAUGUGAUUCGAUCUGUGGUCAUCAUCAAAUACUAUCAAGAAGCAAACACGACCGCGCAUUCCCACGAACACUUCGCCGGCGCCGGCCGCACGCCGACAAGGCCACUAGACUAACUGCACCGGCCGGCCACAGUGCCACACGUUCCUAUCCUGAUUCCUAUCAGGGCAACUGGGGAAGCUGUGAUCACAAGCAAGCAGCACACAGACCGGUCCAAAUCCUGUAGCGGGUGGCCGAGUCGUCGAGCUCGCGUCUCUUCUUAAUAAAUAAAAAAAGUAAAUAAAACAAAAAAAAAGGUGGGGAGGGGUUAAUUGGGCUUACGAGGACGCUGAAUCCCGAUACGUUGGUGAGCGAGUUGGCGAUGGCGGCGCCGGCGAGCGGCACCUCGCCGAGGUGCCCGACCAUGAUGGUGGAGAUGAGCUGCAUCGUGAGCUGCAGCAGCGCCACCGCGAUCAUGGGCGCCGCCAGCGACGCCAGCCGGCCGGCCUCCGCCGUCGCCUCGCCCCACCACCCUUCCGAACAAGCGCCGCCGCAUCGCCGCCACCACAAGCAACUCUUCCCUCCCUCCGCCUCCGCGUCCUCCUUGCCCGCCGGGUGCGGGAUCAGCAGCGGGGCCUCGGAAGAGCCCAUCGGUCGGUGGCUCCUCUUCCUCCUCCCGCCGUACCGUGCCCCGGGGACCCGGGCACCGCCGCAGCCGAAGCGGAUGCCAAGUUUGUUUGGUCUCUCUUGUCUGGUGGAAUCGCGGCGGAGACGAGACGACCAGCGGAGGGUUUAUAUAGAUUAUUAAAAGCAAAACAGCGGAGGGGAGGCCGUGGAAAAUGGAGCUGAAGCCGACGGUGGUGGGGUGGCUACGAGGCUUCGAUGGCACAUGCUGCUGACGGAACGGGACCCUUUGGGAGGACGCUGUGGUUCUGCAGUGUGCCCGCAGCAGCAGCGGCAGAGAAAUGCGUGGCAGCGUGACCGUGCGUGGCUGAGUGAACAGUGCAAGCAGCUACCACUAGUUUGCUGUGCUACACGGCGCUUGUAUUUUUCUCUUUUCUGCCAGCAAAAAAUGACGUUUGAUUGACGCUGAUGGGUGCUAGUCGACGACUCGACGUUGCUAGACGAGUCUUUGCCUGUUCAGAUUGUCAAGCCCUUCAGUAAUGAUUUUUUUUUCCAACAUUUUUUGGGCCGUAAAACUUUGCGCAUAAUGUAUAAUUAUUACAUUUGAGCAUUUAAAAAUCAUACGAGUACAUUUAUAUUGAAAUUAGUUUUGUAAUCAUAUUGUGUACUUAUGUUAAUUACAGGUAAAAUUGAGCUGGGAGAUUAAAACUCUAGAAAUCUACUAGUAACUGGCCUAAUUAGCUGAUCUCGAAGUCUCCAACUAUAGUAAACUACACGGAGAUCAAUAUGGUCACUUGGCAUCAGUGGGACUAAUCUAGUGCCAUUGGCGGCAAGUACGUGGGCAUGGACACGAUUAAGAGUAGCUACUACAGCUCGUACCAUAUAUUUUAAAGCCUUUGUAUAAACUAUCUUUUCUGUUAUUUCAGACAGCAGCCGCCUAAACAGUUGAACAUGCAUUUGAUUGGUCUUCCAUCUUCUUCGUCUAACGAACUAUGAAUAUCACGUGUGGACACCUGUACGCAGCACUGACUAGGUCCACAAGCCCAUACGCCCGCAUGGCGGUCAACAUGUGGUUAUUUAAUUACCAGCAGCCCAACUCCACGGAGGAUUAGUUAAUUAGUCCAUCAUCAGGCUAUUUUAAUUAGAAAUUUCAAAUGCAACGUGUUUCUCUUGUCUAGAAAAUUAGAAAUUAACGAAAUGGCCUUGCUCAUCUCAUGAUUUCUGUAUUUUGCGGCAGCAGCGUUUGUUUAAUUUCUACCCGGCGAAUUUCCAAUAAUCUGACCGCCCGGCCGGCUCCUCCAACUCUCGAGAUUUGGUGGCUGCAUUCAGAGGCUAGGCUGACUCACCUAAUGGAAAAAACAGGACACGCGUGGAAAACGUGGACGUGUGAGGGGGUUUGGUGUCAGGUCUUGUCGGGGUCAAAGCUGAGUAUUGGCGAAUGGCGAUCAAAACCGUGCAUGUUCAAAAAAGGAUUCUGAACAUAAGAAGCCGGCUGCUGCUGCACCUGCACGCCUGUGCCAGCAUUAUUUAAUUUAUCCAACUGUGUCAUCUUUCAUAAACUUAAAAACAAACUGUAGCAGGUAUCCCGUAUAGAAUGAAGGAUCUUCAACUUGUGAAUUUCAAUUGCUGCGGCGUCAAGCAGCAGCCAGUGGUCACUUGCGAAUUUUCAUCCCGGCCAGUCAGAGGAAAGGUAAGUGGCGUAGGGAGACGUGGCUGAUGCUGAACACCGGUGGCAGCGAUCCUUGGCACCGCAUACUAAGAAGAAAGAAGAUCAGUGGCGGUCUAUCCAAUGUUCAUUGCUUGGAAUAUUUGGAAGGAGAGAAAUCACCGAGUGUUCGAAGGAAGAAGCCAGCAACCGACGCAGAUGUUGACCAUGACAAGGAAGACAAAUUAGCGUCAUAGUGCGUGUGGUAGCCCUGAAUUGGACUAGUGUAUCCUCUUUUAUUAAUGCUAGUUAGAGUUCAGGGAAACCAUUUAUUUAUGUAAUAUUGUAACUGCUGUAAUUUUAAAGUUUUUCCUUCUUAAAUGAAUCAGCGCUAUUCCUUAGUUAAAAAAAUAGUAAAAAUAGUCAGAGGAAAGGUUUGAACACGCUCGUAUCUUUCACAGUGAUCAAAGUUUUUUUUUUAAGGAAGCGAUCAAAGAUUCAAAGUAACAUUCUCCGUGUGCUCCAGUGCAUCAGACAUGAUGGCGGCAGGGGGCUGAACAACUUGAGUACUUGACAGCUUGACGUCUUUAUUGCUAUUAACAUUCUGUCCCUUCGACGAACGUAACAACCAUAUCUAUUAAAUUUGGGCUAGUUCGGUGAAGCUCCCGCCACUUCUAGCUCCACCAUACGUCACUGUUUAUAUUUAGCUACACUGUUCACGGAAGCCGGUUUUCUCUCCCCUCCUUCUCCCCCUCACAGACCAGUAAAGAGCUGGUGGAGCCACAAAUUUUGGCUUCACUGGCUCCAGCUUCUCUCACACCCCUGCCAUGCACAGUGCAAGAGCCGGAGGCAGAUGGAGCGGCACCAAACGAGCCCUUAUUGCUAUGACGUCUCCAAUGAUAUAAGUCAUUUGAUAGCUCAUUCUCCUGUUGAUGUGAUUCUACGUACAAGAUAGAUUUGAAUAUCGUCACUGUGAGAGAGUUGUUUCUGCACUCCACGUAUACUUAUUAAACUGUUCAACUAGUAAAAAAUUGAUUGAGCUAGAGCUUUGAGCUAGACUAUUGGAGCCGCCAUGAUACACUUCGUAGUUCUUGAAGUCAUGCAGCAGACAGCUUUAUUAGCGCAUAGUACAAAGCAAAAAAUAAACAGGUUGGCCAUCAACGAAUUCAUCAGAAAGGUUUCAUGGAUUGGAGCAACGAACACAAAUCGGUCUCAUGCAAGCACAGCUGAAACAGGUCAGUCUGGCCGAUUUGCUUGAACUCGUGGCCGAGGACGACGGCCUCCUUCGAUCCCAGGUCGAGCUGGACGAGCCCAACCCCCUCCAUCUGCAGCAUCACGGCGCCGCUCCUCUCCCCGAACCCCAGGAACCGCACCGAGUAGCUCGGGCCCUCCAUGGCCGCCCUGGCGAUGGCCUGCCUCCGGAUCACCACCUGCCGGGUCCACCUCGCCGAGCCGUCGUCCUCCGCCAGGGUCCACAUCGCUAUGGCGCCGGCCUCCGGGACCAGCAGGCCCAGCCUUCCGUCCGGCGACGCGGCCAGGAGGAACCCCGUGUCGAGGCGCUGGGAGUACCUCACCCUGGUGAGGUAGUCCGGGGGCAGCUCGAUCUGCGUCGCCUGCCCUGUGCCGGUGUCCAGGACCUUGACGCCGGGGUCGAGGCAUCUGUGGCACAGCCAGUGGAUGAUGGUGCCGGCUCCGAGGACGACGGGGUGGGCGCCAUUGCCGGACGGAACGUCGUAGCAAUGGCGCGGCAGGAGGCGGGUGUCGACGACGGCUCGCCAUUUGCCUUCCUUGGACGAGAAGGUCUGCGUUCGCAGGCACCGGUCGGCGAUGAGCAGCUCGAAGGAGCGGCCGGCGUCUCCGACCGCGACCAACGCCGGCGGGUACUCGUCCUGCACGGCCGCAGGAGGCAGGCAGGUCGUGUCGCCGGUGAGGCUAUUGCAGACGCGCAGCUUGGGGGCGCUGGCUGCCUCCCGCUGGCGGAGGACGACGAGGCCGCCGCGCGCGGCCACGGGUUCGAACGCCUCCAGGAGGCCGGCGUCGAAGCGGAGGCGGUUUCCGCGGAGCGCCUGCUGCGCGACACGAGCGGGGUCGUCGGUGCAGGACCCGCGGUGCACGCAGGAGAAGCCGAGGAGGAGGGAGGGGUCGAAGCCGCCGCCGCCGUCCGUGGCGCGGCGGGCGGUGAUGGCGUGGCGGAAGUCCGGGCCGGCGAUGGCGCGGCGGACGGGCUUGGAGGUCGCGGCGCAGCGGACGACCGUGGUCGCGUCCGUGCGCGCCAGGAUCUCGAGGAGUGGGUCGAGCGGGAUGGGCGGCGGCGGCGGGGGCAGCGGUGAUGCCGCCGCGGUCGUUGUGCCGUUGCCUGCUCGGCACUCACGUCGGCGGAGCUUGGCGGACGACAUGGCCGUCACGUUCGGUCAAGUAUGCUCGUGCAAAGCUUGCAUGGAUUUUGGUGGUGGGCGUUUGUGGUUAUACGGAGUGUCUGGGCUCGGACUCGGGCGGGCGCACGAGGAGUUCGACACGCGCUCGGAGCCCGGGAGGCCGCGCCCGCGAGUGCGCAUGUGGCAUGUGCAAUUGCAAAAACGUAGCAGGGGGGAUCUCUCCCUGGUUGCCGACCACCAGCAAACGCUCAUCUUGAAGAAACGUCUCCAUUUUCCGUCGAUGUUUGCGCAACUCUGCUUUGUUCCUCUCAAGUUCCCAGUUACAGUAAACUGUAUUCAAAGUGCAACUAGUCCAUCCGAGGAAGACCAAGAGGCUGGUAUCAGUGUCCAAUCCCAAUUCUUAUGCUAUCUUCCCGUUUCGUUACGCUGGAAUUAAUUUGUUAGACACCGAAGAAUUUUGAUUGUGAUGUCACAAUACAGCACAAAAUCUGGAGGUAUGUACAAUGAAAACAGAGAGUUGCUGCUUACAGUCAUUAGUAGAAACCUAUUUAGCAGCACACGAACGCGAAAAUUACAAUCAGAUACUAGAAUAUCUUAUUUAUUUGAAUACUGGCAAAGAACACGCGCGCACGCACCCUCUUUUCUUUUAUAUACAGAAACUCAUAAAAGUUGUUUCCACAGGAAAACCUACAUACAUAUUCAGAACUAGCCUAAGUUUGCAACACUUCCCAGUUAGUCAAGCCUCACACAGUUAGUCAAGCCUCACAUGCACAGCACCCAUGGCGUAACGAUACAUCAAUAAGCUCCCUUGCUACAUCAGUGAUGAUGCCACCCAAUAUGUUCUUCUCUAAAUCCUUGACAACUUCAUUCUUCUCGAUUGGCAGGUCCCGCAGACGGUUCCAACCAAAGUCCCACACUGAGUUAGCAUCAGAAUGUGUAUGUUCAAUGUCACUGAGGAGUACCAUUUUCAAGUUUUCAGCUGUGCUAUUGUCACUCUGUUGAUGCAGUUUCCUGGGGAUGUUCAGAGACUGAAUAUCGCCGUCCAAUUCUCUGAUAAGAUCACUCAGAGUCUGUAGUUUCAGGUUAGCAGUGCGCGUCGUGCUAACGUCGACCAUCGCCUCAGUUCGUUUACCUUUCCUUCUGAUUACUUCCCGUCCUACGUCUGAAAGAACCUCGUUUCCUUUGUCUAACCACUUCCCUGUGUUAACAUGGAUAGCACUGACUGGAGCAUGGAAUCCAGUUAUCGCCUUGGCAGUUUCAAGUAAGUAGGGAUCCUUCAGCAACAUUUCCGUAAGCAAGAGUUGGUUCUCUGUGAAUGAAUCACAUGAAACAACAAUCAUCUUGUGAUUUUUCGAAUCUGUCAGGUUAUCGGGCUUCAUGAUAUGAUCCAAACCUGCAAUAAAAGAAUAAGGUUGUCCAAUGCUGGUUCAGGCAUGUAGAUUGCUCUGAAAUUCUUUCAAUUACUAUAAAGUAAACAACUGGUUCUAGUUACAAAUCAAGAGUAUGCAUACCAUUUCUUGAUUGAUCAUGCACUUCUGUCAUUUGUUGCAGUUGUUGCUCCUGCAGCUCUCCCUCAGAAAUAGUUUCUAGUAUCUGUGUAGUCUCACUGGAUGUGUGAUCAACUCUAGCAUCCUGCAUGUUUGGACCAGCAAAAUAAACAUCAUCAGCAGAUGCAAUACUUCCGUAAUAAUUACCCUAAAUAAACUUUUGUAAAAAUUCUUUUUGCAGUAAUUCAUGCAAAAUGCUCCAAUUCAUCAAACUUACAUUUUCCUCAGCAAUUGAAUCAGCAGUGGUCUGUUCAACAGUAGUGAUUGGAUCAUUGAUUUCUUCAGUGAAUUGCUUUUCAGAUUGGUCUGCUGAAAUCCCACUAGUACUGUUGCUAUCUUUCAUCUCUACCGUGGAUUGUUUGAAUACACCAUCAUCACUGGGAGUGUUGUCCAACGGUUUCGGAGCCCCAGUAUCAUCUACUUUUGUCUCCUCUGCAUUCUUCAGUUCUGUCAUUGCAAUAUAUUCAAACUUCUCUUUCGUACGCUUUGGUUCGGAUCUCAGUGGCCUCUUGUGUUCUAGAUUCUGACUGGCUGUUUCACUUUUUGUUCGGCGAUAAUUUUGACUGGCUGUUUCACUCUGUGUCGUUCGACUAUAACUCUGCACCUUCUUUUCCAUGAUGUCCAUGAUGUGUUUAUCUGUCAGCUUACUUUGUGGUUGCCUUCUCAUUUUAUCUGUCUUGGCAGUCUUUCCAUUCUUUCCUUGAGCCUUGCUUUCAGGAGUGGCAAGGUUCUCCUUGUUAAACUUCUCCCUUGUCCUCCUUGGCUUCACCUCACUGUCUCUCUGUUUUAUGCUUAUGGUUUGCUUCUUUCCGAGAUUUUGUUUAUUUUCUUGAACAAUGUCUUUCUCUUCUGUGACUGGUUUGUUCUUUGCAUUCUUCCUAAAUCUUUGAAGGAAAUUCAUCUUUUUUCCUGCACUGAUGGCUGUUUUUUGCUGGUUGCUGUCUUCAGUCAGCUUCAUGUCCUGAUGGACUAUUUUGUCAUCAACUACUUGGCUUAGACUAGCUCUUCUAUCUGUGCCUUCCUGUUUGCUUAACACCUGUCUCAUAGUUUGCCUUGUUUGCUUGUCAGACAUGAGAUGUGAAAACCUAUUCGACAGUACAGGUUCUUCAGACUUUGUCAGGCUGAUGUUCCACUCCCUUGUCUGAAAAUUCUUGCUUUGUCCUUUGGAUGGCACCCGUUCUGAAGCUAUAAUCCGUAUUGGUAAUGUGCCAACCAUCGCAUUUUUCGCCGUCGCCCUUCUUGGCACUGCUUCAGGCUUUACAAACCUCUCUGUCCCCUUGCGCUCUGCAACCGCCUUCGCCGAUGGAAGGUUCUCCAGCCCCAUCAGCUUGGCAAUCAGACUGGGCAUCCUCACCUUUGAAUCAUCCUUCUCACCACUUGUAGCAUUGCUCUUGGAAUUGUUUGUGACAGCAGUAAACUGCAAAGGUGAGCUUUGGUUUGAUCUGUAAUUCUGAGACAAGCUGUGAGGAACGAUCUGCAUAAAAGCAUCUGAUGGGCUCCUUGCAUUGUCAGCCUGCUCGGUCUCUGAAUCAUCAUCAACGAUCUCCACCAACCUUGCAGAAGCAGAACUCGUCGAAUGUGGCGUCGAGCUCUUCCAAUUCUCCUUGCCCCCCUCCAGCAGCAGAACCUUGCCUUCCCCUGAGGUUUCCAUGUAAUCCGAGGCAUCUUGGAGCAUCAUAAGCAUGCUCAGGGACUCCUCCAAGUCCAUGGCGCCUCUGAGCAGCUGCUUCCCGAUCUCAACCGAUCCUCUCCUCACGCCACCGGAGGAGUACGCCAUGAGAAUGUCGUUCAGCUUCUGGACGCCGAUCGCCACCUUGCCGACGUGCGCGCCAGGAGUCAGGAGGUGGCGCGCCUGCGUCGUCGUCCUGUCCGGCUCGCCGAAGAACAUGGAGGCCCCGGUGCCCUGACGCGCCACGAGCUGGACGUUGUGGAGCUUGCCGCUAUUGCUGAGCGCGAGGGCCAGCGCCAUCUGCAUGUCGACGCCGGUGUUGGCUGCGGGCGUCGUCCGCUUGCUGCCUCCUCCUCCUUGGAACGGCACGAUGGCGUGCGAGUGGGCAACGGGCGGUGCGUCAUGGCGGCGCGGCUUGCUGCCUCCGGCAAUGGAGCUGUUGCCUUGCCGGUACUGCAGGUGCAGAGGAAACCGGUAAGGAUCGUGAAAUGGGAGGUAAAAAAUUGAGCACAAUAAACAUAUGAUCGUUUGGGACUUUGCUGCUUACUAAUCUGUUUGUUGCAGCUUCUGAUCUUCCUACACGAGGAGCCGGAGCUGCUUGUUGUGGCUUCUGAAAUUGAAUUGGUUUCCGAGAAUUUGAAUAGGCAUCUGCAGAACAUGGACAGAUACUGAAUAAUCUACUACGUAUUGUCAAUUUGUCAUCUGAACUUGCUGCUCUUCUGAAUAAACAAAUGCAAUUUAUCUUGACGACAGACAUCCAAAAAAUGAAAUUCCAGCACAUUCAGAUUAGUAUGAUGCGUCAAAAAUAGGAACAGAUUGCAUAGUGCACACAUUAGUUGCAGAGAGAAAACACUGUAACAAAAGCAAAAACACAGUGCCAGCCACUUUCCCGAAAAAGGAAAAAGAGGGCGAAGAACACAAUGCCAGUGCAAAGCAAACACCGACGGACAAAGCCCCGGCGAGCAGGCAAAACUUACCCCGAGGCGCAGCGGUGUUCGCAGUUCCCCGCUGCGCCGGCGGCGGCGCCGACUCGAACCCGAGGCGCUCCCGGCGGCGGCGGAGGUCCUUGAGCAGCUUCUGGGCGAAGUCGGAGCCGAGAUCAGGCACCUUUGCCAUUUCCCCGCCGCGGAGGAGGAACCGAGGCCCUACUGCUCCUCCCCCUCCCCCACUGCACCAUGAACCUCUCAGUUAGGUGCGUGACAAAACGGGGCGUUCCCUCGGGUUGGUGCGCGUGGGCGUUCCAGGGCUUUCGUUGUCUUCAACCUCACCGAGUCCUGCGGCGGGGUGAGGCGGAGGGUGGGGUGUCUCGUCCGGAGAGAGCCGCCAUGUCAAUCUCUCGCACUAGAUGCUUUCGGUUGGGGGUGAGUGAGAGGAUUGCCUUGGAAGCCACGGCCUCCAUUGCUGACAGGAGCCUCUGGUUGCAUCCCCAGUUCACCCCCUUCGCAAGCAAAGCCCGGUUGAACAGAGACGUGGCAUUUGCGUUCGGAUUCUCUUGUAGCCUAGCAGUAGCUUUUGGUUAGGUGGUAGUGGGAGUGAUCUCAUUUGACCAUGAUGUGGAUUUGUCGAAACCAUAAAGGACUUUGCUGUGACAUCAUCUUUAUGGGUAUUUAUAUAUAUUUCUUGAUACGCCUUUAAGGUGGAUAGGUUAUGAUUUUUUAUUAUCUUGAAAGAAAAGAGAUAUUAGAGAGCUAAUCAAGGGGUGAUAGAUGAAGAUGUGAUUUACAAGCAUUCCUCAGUACUGCAAAAGCUUGGAAAGAUGCUUACGUCUUGUGGUACAAAGAUCUUUAUAUUUUUCUUAUUUUUUUUCAGAGUUUGAGCUUGCUAAUACAGUGUAUGAUAGGGGCAGUUAUAACAGCCUCAGUACCAAGGGGCCUACAAGAAUCACUCCAAAUUCUUUGUGCGCGACUCUGAACGGUCAUUGGUGCAAAACAUAGAGCAAAAGAAUGUGAGAUUCACUCCAGGGUCUACAAACAGGAUGCACCAUUAAUCAAUUCUAACUACCAACUUGCACACUAAAGGUUGACAAAAGAAAAUCAACACAAGAUAUGUUCUGAAGACAAACUAAACCUAAAAGGUGAGCACAGAUCACACGAUGCAGGUGCACCCACAAGAGACGGAUGGCACAAAAUCUGGAAAAAGCUCCAAAAAAACAUGAACUGGUCACCUAAUCGAGUUUUAUGUACAAGAUGGCACAUAAAUUUCCACAAUUUUUUUUGGUGCAACAUCACCCUCACACCACACAGCAAAUUGUCGGUCACUUAAGUUCCUUCAUCAACACAUUUAAUUCAAGAUCCCAGAAUGCAGAGAGAACCAUUGGACGUUCACAGUAACAGCAAGUGACUUCACUCUUAUUAUUUUGACUGGACUCAUAUUUACAUCUCAAGGAGCAAAAAUGAUUGGCAUUGCAAACAAGAAAGCAUCAGAUACCCAGAGAGACUGCAGAAAGGGAAGAACAGAAAGCCGCACUCAUCUAUGUCUAUAGCAUGGACAGGAAAGGUGGACAGUUAGCUUCCUACAAGACCAAGGUAGAUACAAAUCUACAUUCAUGGGGAUCAUUUGGCGAUCAGGGCAGUCGGCGCCUGAAGUUCCUACUGGUGCUUUGGUAUGUACGGACCAGCAAGCCGACACCCAAUCCGAUACCCACACAAACGCCAAGGCCGAUUCCAACUCCAACACGGACCCCGGCAUUAAACCAUGAAAGCUCACCGUCCUCACCCUCUAGAAAGUCCUGCCUUGAGUACAAACUGUUAUAGUCAACAUCCACAUCCGUCUCUGGUUUGGAAUCCUGGAAUUCUGAUACCUGAAGCAAGUAACAGGAAAGAUAAGUACGCUAUCAUAUGGCAGUGACAUAAAUCAUAAAUGCAUCAUGCUUUACAUAGGAUAUGUAGGACCAAGCAGCUUAAAGAAUACGUCCCAUGAACUGGCCCACAACUAUAUGUAAAUUAAUGUGCUGAAUGCUGUAUAUCCAUGAAUACAGUGAACGUUUUCUCAAUGCUGCGCAGAAGAGCUAAGAAUCUUCAUUGCUAACAUUGGACAUUAAUACCCUGAUUGUUAUAUCCAUAUUUACUGGAGAAUUUCCAUUGAGCAAUCAUCUUCCCAUAUAAAAAUAACAGUAAAGCUGGUUGUGAGAAAUCAUCUUCCCAUAUAAAAAUAACAGUACAGCUGGUUGUUCUACUAAUGAGACAACUUCUUAGCACAGCUAAUGAUCUCUCUUCACAUGUUCUAUCCGUAUGCAUUUACUGCUAAUCUCAUUUGCAGAGUUUCAGUAGACAAAAUUAUAUUGUUGCAAAUUUGCAAAUGAGAUUCCUUCGCUAAAGAUCAAAAGUGAUGGAAUGGUCAAAUUUUGAUCUCUUGAUGUUCUCAUAGGAGAUAGGACACACUGUCUUGCGGUACAGUAGAAAUCAGCUACCUAAGCUCCCAGUACCAAUGAGCAUAUGAGCAUGCCAGAGCACGUGCACUUUGAAUAUUCAACUGCUUCCCCCGGUCCUUUUAUCAGAUGAGCUGUAGACCAGCAAUCAGAUGUACAUGAAUCUGCCCAAAACAAAUUGACCGAAGGACCUACCAAUCCAAGUGCACCUCACAAAAGGUCUCAUUGCAAGAUAGGUACUAGGCUGAUGUAAUGGCUGUUAUGAGGUUCACUAUUAUCUCCAAGUCAUCCUCGUAAAAGAGUUACCAUGAAGCAAGACAGCAACAACAUUCAGUUUUUCGUUUCUUUUUUAUUAAAAAAAUUGUUCUAGGAGCAAAUGCACUAUACGGCCAAUCAACCAUGAUACCAAUAUCCGGUAAACUCUCUUUCAGGAGAAUAAGUUUGCACGAAGCUAUGUAUAAAGUGGUUUGGUGGCCCGUGGGCAUCAACAUGAGAAAUGAAACAAAUAUGGAGAUAUGUAACUAUACUUAAAUAACACCAACAUAGCAACACAUAUAUACAUCGGAAAAAAGUUAAUUGAGCAAUUUUAUAGAAAUAUUUCUUGUCACAUGUAGGUUGAGCAUGGUCAAAUCGACUAAACCAACAAGUUAACAGUAAACAAGUUACAUCAUAGCUGUUCCCUUGUGGUGAAUAAUUCACAUUUGUCUCAUAAAUCAUAACUGCGGUAAGUGGGAAAGUCUCUUAAAGCCAAAAUAGUUCAGAACCCCCAAGUUUCAAGCACAAAAGUUUGUAUGCUUCAGGCUAAAAGCGCACAUAUGAGAUCGUAGUUGGAUAAAAGCAUUUGAGAAUGGUCACGGUACAGAUGGUAAGUACCUUCAAAGAGUCUUCAGCAGACUCUUCUUUCUGUUGUUCAGUUGCCUCAUUCUCAGGGAUGGAAUCAAGCUUUAGUUUCAUUUCAGACUUCCUCCGUGAUAUAAGCUGGAUUGCCUUUGUUAAUAUGAUAGGUGUGCCAGAGAAAGUGCCAGCAACAUAAACUUCAAUCACUGGCUGUACAUAUUCCGAGCCUGUGGAGAGUUUUCCCUUCAAGAAGCCAUUACAUGAUGUUGAUGAUUGACAUUUCAUAUUCCAUUUCUUGCUACUGUUCUUUGAUUCCCCAACUACUCCAUUGGCAUUGGACAAAUCCAAAUCUCCUGUGAGCAAGAGAUCAUUCUUAUCAAAGACCUGGAACCUCACACUCCCUGUCAUCCGUAUAUUAUCCGUGCUCACAAAUGUAGCUUCCUCAGUCUUUUUGUCAACCCUGUCCCUCCUGAGUGACGAGGAUAUAAACUCAGUGUGCAUGCUGCUCCGCUGGCCAUUCACCUCAAUAACCGUAUCAGGCGACAAAGGGAUGUGGUUGAGCGUGAGAUGCUCCGGUGCAGACUCAUCAACCACACAAUUGCUCACCCUAAUGUAGAACACCUUCAAGUCAAGCCAAGGUGAAGACCUGGGCGCAUAAAGUGGGUGCAUAAUAAUCUUCCUCGCCGCCUCAAAAGCCACCCCGUCACCCAUCUUUCUAUAUCUAAUUGAGACAGAUUCUUAUCGCAUUGACACAGACAUAAAUAUGUAGACACACUACCAGAGCCUCUCUAACUGCAGCCUCAAGGACAGUUCAAUUCUAGUACCUGCAAAAGCAACACGGCAAAUGUUUAGUGCAAUAGAAAUCAACAAAGGAAUCUUUUGUUAGACUGAAGCAACACAAACAUAAACAUGCUAACUUGGCCACAAAUUUACCCACCAGACCAAGAUGUCAAAUUUUGCUAGACUUGUAUUGGAAGCGGGACCAAUUGACAACAAAUGCAACUAUAAUUAACUCCAUAACGUAACAGUUAGAACUCUAGUUCCAAUAUCUAGAAGUAAUAGUGACCAAUCAAAUCGCUACCACGCACACAUAAUCCGAACAGAAAAGGAUCAAUUCUCCUAAUCGAAUCCCUAAAGGGAGCGGAUUUAACGUGGGGCUGAACCUCCAAAGAAAUUUAGAGAACAAAACAGGAUUUAGCAAUCCACCGCGCAGCAAAGAAAUCCCCAAAUCAGCGAACUGCAAUAAUUAGAGUAUCCAUUCCAGAAAUUAGAGAAGGAUUUGGAUUCUAUUGCUCUAAUCAAAGAGAGAAGACCAGGACCAAGCUGACUCUUAGAACAGUCGAUCCAAGCACGAUAAGGGUUCCUUACCACGACGGAUGAAUCAACCCAGGUCCGGAUCGAUCGGCGCACCUGGGGCAGCAGCAGCGCGCAAUAGGCAGCGGGCAGCGACAACAGGAGCGGAAUUCCAGCCGACGAGCUCCCGUCGCAGGAGCCUUCGGGAUGCGUGCGGCGGCGAGGUCAGGCGGAAUGGUUCGUUGGGCGAUGCCGGAAGCCGGGAUGCGGGGCACGCGGACGAGGGGAGGAACAAGGUCGGGGGACGGCAAUGGAUGAUGGAGACAGUAUUUCUUAAAAGAAAAUCUAGUUUGUUUGAAGGGGGUAGAUUUAAUAAAAAUAUUUUUUUUCAGCCACUUAAUCUCCGUCAGAAGUUUCCCUCACUUCCUCUGUCUCCGUUUAUAACAUGGCUUCAGGCCACUUAUUUUUUAUAUCUUGUCAAGAUAAUUGAAAUCCUAUAAAAUUUAUUUUGGUCUAAGAAACUGUAAAUAAAUAAUUUUUUCCAAUCCACAUAAAAGUUCAUCAGAACACUACUCAUGCACAGAAGAUCAACGGCUUUCGCCAUCCGAGCCCACAGAUCCAGCGGACCAGAUUUUUGCCGACAUCCAUUGCCCGCACACGUGGAGUGGGGGAUGUGGCCACUGCCACUUCACGCCUCAAUUAGUCAAUUCAUCCACUCAAUCCUCCAAAAUAUCUCUCUCCCAUCUCCAUCGGUCCCAGAAUUUGAUUAAUUGCGGCAGAAAUUUUUCUUGUGUUUUUUUUUCCCUCUUCCUCCUGUCCACAAGGUGGGUUGCCCGUUUGGAUUCAACAGUCAGGUCAACAGGGAUAGAGUGGUGGGAAAUGCUUGUCAUGAUGAACAUUAAGAGAUUUUUCUAGAUUUCUUGGUCAUUGAUGAGCAGCUAAGAAGUUUUCCCAGUUUUGUUCAAAAUUACCUCGUAUCUCAUCUAGGCUAUGAUUUACGAACGAACAUCAGAAAAUCAUCUCUCCCUUUUUUUUCUACCCCUUUGGAGACAUAGUGGAAUGAUUCUAGUCAUUGUAUCGACAACCACCAUGGUGUGGUUGGUUAGAAUGCUUUGUGACAUCAUUUUCAUUACACGCCCAGCUGCACUCUUUUUUUUUUCAUUCAAAUUUCUCACAGAAAAAGGUGGAUGUUGUGUAGUAGUAGUAGCAUCUGUUAGGAAAAGGCAUAAAUGAUGUUUACUCUGACCCUCAGUCAUUUGCUGUAAUUAACACGAGUAUUUGAUGCAAAAUUUCCAUCUGAAAAGUGAAAAGGAAGAGAGGACCAGCAAGUCAUCCAUUGUUCCACAGAGCAAGUUCCACAUGGAUGACUUCCGGCAGUGUUUCGACUCACGACACAAACUAUAUCGGAACAGAGGUAUUGCAUAGCCAAUUGCAAACAUCAGAACACACUUUCUUACUAACUAUGGACUUUAGAGGGCACAAAGCGCACCGCGCGGUUCCUCUUCUUGUGAGUUCCCUCAAAGCAGAUAGCAAAUGAUAGAGCAGCUGACCAAAAACAAUACUGUAUAACAAGAACAUGACUAACUUCUGGUAUAACGGGCAGUGAUACAGGAAUUGGGAACCUAACAUAACAAGAACAUAAUUGACUUAUGGUAGGAAUUGGGAACCUAACAUAACAAGAACAUAAUUGACUUAUGGUACAAAUAAUCAACAAAGAUAAGUUUUUACAGCAUACUACCCUUGCUUUGGAGUGCUAAUGUCACAUACGCAGGCACACACGAACUCUGGUCAUAUUCUGGGAUGCAUACAUUUUAAACGGCAAAAAGGAUGGCUUGGGCAGUUAAUUUUAUGUUGCCAGAUACGGCAUACAGGGCAAACUACAGCAUGCACGAUUAUUACUGUACAGCAGGCAGGUUGUGACUUGCGAAGCAGGAUGGAAUAAGUUAAUGUGAGUAUGGAUCAUUGGAGCAUAAGCAUUCAUCAACCAACUGGCGUAGGUUGGGGUUCUCCAAGGCUGCUGCAACUCUUUCCUUGUCGUUCAGUUGCUUGUUUACUGCCAUUUCAUACACAAUCACAUGUUAAAUAUUUAAAAGUCACAUUUGCAAUUGCAUUAUACGAUGUUGGUAUUCUGCUGAUAGAAAAGGCGCCUGGUAAAGGUGGCCUACUACGGUAGAAUGUCAUAUGAUUUGAAAAUAUUCAGCAGUAUAUUCUUGUGCAGACAAACAAAGAAAAAUAUGCAAACAGAUGCUAUAGUCUAACAAAAAAAUAGCCUGGUACUUUGAUAACCUAGUACUGAAACAAAGAUAAAUGAAGAAAAACACAUUAUUGCACGGAGUCUACUAGUUACAUGUUAGUCUGGACAGAAUGGCAUCUCUGCUGAUAGGCUGCAACAUAUCAUCUCUUACCAACCUUUAAAUGUGCUGCCCUUGUUAUUCUUUUAAAUACGUUUACCAAAUAAUGCUUAGUAUGGUGUUCAAGAAUAGGAACAAAGACUGGCUAUCACAUUUUGAUACGUCAAAACAGAUUUAUGGUGAAAAAAGAUUUUAUGAAAGUAUGUGGGCCCAAGGAUAGUGACUGAGCCAAAUAAUAUUUUAUUCUAAGAUAUUAGCCUGUAUAUCAGUUAGAAACUUGCCAAUGCACACACCUGAUUCUUCAUUGGCAAGAGACCCCGGGGCAACUUUGAUGUCAACCUGCAAAAUUAGUCCAAAGGUAAAGGAUUGCAUAAAUCCUUGAUGUCUGAAUUCAACAUAAAUUAGAAUAACUGUGUAAAAGGGGUGCUACGCUGAAUUAGUGGUGAUUGAACACAUUCCAGUAAAACAGUACCAUUUAUAAAGUGGGGUCUGCCAUAUUCUGUAAUGACCAAUGCUCAGAGAAAGUGAUAAAAUAAAGAAAAACUGGCUGCUCAGUUGCAGCAUAGUUACUGAAGGCCAACCAGCCAAUAGACUUUCAUAGGAUAGGGAAAGCCAAUGUAAGGUGUAAAUACUGUAUUAUACCAUCCUAUAUCAAUUCAAAAUAAAUAGUCAUUAUUGCUAACUAGGCACUUGUCUUAAAAUUUUGAGGCUCAAAAAGGAUCCAAGCAACUAUAUUAUGAAAACCAGCCAAUGGGCUCCUGCUCUGAUUUAGUUUCAUUCUUGUGUCUCUGGCUGUAUUUCAUCUGGAAAUAUUGCAAGAUUGCCCUCCUCUCCGUGAUCGAACUCAGAUGGUGUCAUAUCAAAGGAUGUGCUGGGCAAUGCUUGUCAAGUGUUUUAGAAGGAAGCCAGGAAAGGGCAGUUGAACAUACCAAGGUGUAAGCGUGUAACAGGACAAUUGCACAUAUUAUUCAACACACCAGUUGGUACUUAGCAGGCUCUUCUUUUCUAUGUGAUAAGAAGGAUGUGGAAGUCUUGCCAAUUUUCUAGCUGGAACAGCAUUGACUUGCAAAAAAAAUGCACAUGUUAUGUCACACUCACGAGACAUACAAAAAAAACACGCUAAUUCAGCGUACCAGAUUAACAUUUUACAAAAUUCCCCUAUAUGUAUCCUGCAGUACUGGCAGAUAAGUGGCUUUUUACAGAAGCAUAGGCGCUGGACUGAUGGAGCAAGGAUGCGUGGUUCCUUAAAACAUACAUUUGCAAUCAGAAACAGAGGGGAACCAAGUUCAGGAAUCAGCAAUGUGCAAGACUAAUACUCUCAUCCGAUUGAUCAGGAUUGUGGCGCUGCUGGAGCGGCUGGUUUGGGAGCAUUUAGAAGAGGCUGGAUUGCCUUCACGACGAUGGUCAUGUUCGGUCGGAAGUCGGAUUCAUACUGAACGCACAACGCUGCAACAGCUGCCAGCUAAAAAAUGAAACAACAUCAGUGAGUCCCUGUAGCAUAUCUGGCAAUGCAUUCCUGAAAACAGAUGAUCCAUGCGUGAGAAGUUUUUCUUGUGUACCUUUGCGACAGCCUUUGGAGGGUAGUCGUUGUUGAGCUUGGGAUCAACACACUGCUUCACUUUAUCUUCACUCAACCUUGGAGUGGCCUACUCGCGCGAUUGUUAAGACAUUCAGAGUCAUCAGGAGAUUGGCAUUCUGCAUAUGAGUUUCAAGAAGGGGAUGAACAAAAGAUAUUACCCAAGUAACAAGACUUUGCUGCCCUUUCGGCAUGGUGUGAUCGACCGGUUUCCUUCCUGUCAGUAGCUCUAGGAGAAUCACACCAAAACUGUAUACAUCACUCUUUUGGUUGAUUUGGCCCGUCAUAGCAUAUCUGAGAAAAUGAUUCAAACACCAAUUUGAGUGAGGCUAAUGCUACAAAAGCAGGGCGACAAAUUGUUAGCCAAUGUUAUUCUGCAUCGUCUUACUCUGGGGCAUGGUAUCCAAACGUUCCUAGCACACGGGUUGAGUGCAACCGGGCAGCGGUGUCGGUCCCCUGGUUGGUCAGGUUGAAAUCAGCAAUCUUGGAGCUGAAGUCGUCGAAUAUAAGAACGUUGCUGGACCGAAUAUCUCGAUGCACAAUCGACGGCUGGACUUUCUCGUGGAGGUACUCUAGCCCUCUCGCCGCUCCGUAAGCUAUCUUCACUCGCUGCAACCAGUUCAGGACCGGACCGGGCUCGGCACCCUGAACUCCUUUCUUCCCUGCACAACAAUCCUGGAAUCAAUAUGCCGUCUCAGCAGAUCAGAGCUAGUGAAAUCAGAGGAGACGACGUACACACCGUGUAGUAUGUUAUGCAAAGAACCCAUGGUGGCAAACUGAUAGGCCAGCAUGCGGUUGCCAUCCUCCAAGCAGUACCCCACGAGCUCGAGGAAGUACUCGUUCUUGAGCUUGGAGACCAUCGCUAUCUACGGCGUAAAGACGAUCGAGGCAAGCAAGAACACAGGCAGCGUUAGGGAGGAGGAUGAACGAUAAGGACUCUUGCGUUGUCGUCGGAAGGAAAGAAGAUGAUGCACGGUGAUCGAGGUACCCACUUGCGCGGCGAAGUCGGAGUCGGAGUCCUGCGAUGCGCUGGUGUCGAGCUUCUUGAUGACGGCGGCGCGGCCGUCGCUGAGCGUGGCGUUGUAGACGCGGCCGUAGGAGCCCUCGCCGAUGAGGGCGCGGUCGCUGAAGUUGUUGGUGAUCUUCUUGAGCUCGUCGAAGGGUAUGGCGGGCACGUCGAUGCUGACGGGCUUGGCGGGGCCCCCGGGCCUGGGCGCGCCCGGCCCCCUCGGCCCGCCUCUGUUGCCUGCAUCCAUCCAUGGAUCAAGAAGGAGGCGGCGGAGGUGUCAGAUCAGUGACGCGAUCGAGCUCAUCGAUCGACAACCCGUGCGUGCGUUACGCGAACACGAUGACUUGUACCGUACCGGGGGCGUUGGCAUUGGGUGGCGGAGCCGCCUGGUUGGCCGGCGGGCCGUAGCUGUCCUCCUCGGCGCCUCCGCAGCAAGACAUCUCUGGCUCCUCUCCUCCUCCUCCUCCUCCUCCUCGCCGGACUGGAUGACGACGAUGCGCGGGGUUGAUUUGGGGGCGGUCAGCAGAUCAUGCCGCACGACCUGGAUUCAUUCGCCAUUUUGUGCCCCAGCAUCACAGGACAGAUGAUCACAUUCUCUUAUCAGAGAGAGGAACAGCACAAAUUAUUUGAUUUGCUAACGAAAAGAAAUCGAAGAUCGGAAACGGAUUCGUUGAUGGAUAUGAUCCCCAGAUCGAGAGAAAUCGGCAACAAGCAGAUCGAGGAUCCAGAACCAAUGCGGACAUGCGUGAUCGAUGGUGGAAAUAAAGCUAGCUCAUGAAUUACCUCCCCAAAAGCAAGCUCCGGCGGCACCUACGAGCGAGAAGCAGGGCCGGAGGGAGCGCAGGAGAACAGCCGCGGCGUUGGUGCCCGGCCGCGGGGGUAGGGUGGAGAACGAUGAAAGAUUAGUGGUGGCGAGCGGUGGGAGCUCCCUUUUUCCGCGGGAAAGGAGGCGUCCCGCCCGUUUUAGCUGCUGGAUCGAUCCAUCCGUCGCCCCGGGCUGGCGCGCGAUCCAACUUGUUUCCUUGUGCGCGGGCGCCCCCGGCCGCUAUUAUUGGCAGGGCAUGCGGAGCAGAAAUGCAUUGCUAUAAUUGGCCGUGCAGCCCGCAGCCCGGCACGGAGCUGUUUUUUUUUGCCCCGGCCCGUGACCCUUUGAACUCGGGCUGGCUCAGCCCGGUGGCUCGUGCUGGGCGUAGGCUAGCACCUCAGCACGGCGAGCAACACGGCGGUAUAUCAAAAUCUUCCAUGAAUGUUAUAUUGCAGCCUUGCUUGGUUCUCUUGCUCUGGUCCACACAAUGUUCAUGGAAUUUUAAAUAUGCAUAUAUAUUAGGUUAUGAUGAACAGCAUUAACUAUCAAAUGAUAGAUCAAAUCCUGCCACUCCGACUGAGUAUUUCAUAAUAUACAAUGAUAGAAGUAAACUGAAUUCUAAAGCAUAUCAACUGGUCAUCGUAAUAAGAAUUCCAGAAACAGGGAAAUAUACCCUGAAUUAUAAAGCGUCUCAACUGGUCACCAUAAUAAGAAUUCCAGAAACAGGGAAACAUAUAAGCACCUUGAAAUGUGGAGGGAAGUUCUGCAUCAACUUAAGUCGGAGGCACAGACCAAUUACUGUGGCCAUACUGCAGUGCUGCACAGUUGGAGUGAAGGUUAUCCUGCAGGAAAUUGCAAGAUUUAAGCAAUUGAUGAAAAUAAGUUGAAGUUAGAUAUGGUUCUCCAUAUUCCUACAGUCAGGCAGUUCGGGUUCUUUUUUUCAGGUCAAGAUGAAGUUAACACAAGAUGCUCCCAAAUAACUAAAGAAAACCUCAAUACCUCACACCUUGAGAGUGUGUAUCAUGAAUGGACAUGAUUAGCAGACAACAGGGUCAGGGAAACUGGCAAAUGCAUGCACAUAACCAUGGAUGCUAAAAAAAUAGAUGAAACAGCUCAGAUCUAUACACCUCCCAGAGCAUCUCCAAAAGUCUUCCUAUUAAACCUCCUAUAGUCAAAUUUAGGAUUUUAGGAGAAAAAUCACCCUCACCAACAGUCCCCCUAAAUCACCUCCUAUAUUUAGUGGCAUCCUAAAUCACCUUCCCUCCCUCUCAAAUCUAGGAUCAUCCAGCUGGCACCCUAUCUGCUGGGCACGCUUUUUUCCCGCCCUGCACCUUCCUCGCCAUUUUCCCCUUACCUCCUGCGCAUUGUGCCGCCCCAACGGCUGCCCCGCACACUGCACCUCCCAUAACUGCAGGCCUGCACUUUGUUUCGUAUUUUUAUUGCUUGAGAUGUUCUACCCUUUGGGCAGUGAUGCACAUGUAGUAUUGAUAUUAUCAUUCCAUCAACUUUUGUGCUCUCCAUUUCAGGUAGCAAAAGGCCAAGGAUAACAAAAUGUGGAAGGGGUUGGACGACCACUUCUGCAGGUGGGAAAAAUCAUGUCAGUGGGGGGCGAUCCGAUCGGCGACCAGAUCAAUGAAAAAUGUGGACCCAGAUUGUUUACAUGGCAUGUUUUAAAACGUAGGAGGUUGAGAUAUAGGGGGGAAGUCACGUCAGUUUUUUUUUUGGUUGGGGGGGGGGGGGGGGUCUGAUCAGUGAAUAGAUCAAUGGAAAUUGUGGACCCAGAUUGUUUACGCGGCAUGUUUUUAAAAUAUAGGAGGUUGAGAUAUAGGGGGGAAAUCACGUCGGUGGGAGACUAUCCCAUCGGCGACCAGAUCAGUGAAAAUUGUGGACCCAGAUUGCUCACUUGGCAUGUUUUAGGAUAUUUUUUUUUAGUAUGACACCUAUAUGAGAAAGUAGGAGAUCAAAUUUAGGAGAACUCUUGGAGAUGCUAUCACAGACCCACUAGCAAGCAUAGCUGCAUAGGCAAUUCCCACAUAACCUGCUCAACUGAUCGUACUUCAUACAUUCAUACUCCAAUAUCAACAAGGACAAGGAGAGAAGAGAAAUAAUACAUCUAGGUGCCUACUGUCUUAUUUCUCUUGUCAAGAAGCAAUUCUAGAUCCAGCAAGCCAGAUUGUGCACGUGUUCCACAAUCCAAGCACAAACCCGCAAAGGCUCUGAGAAUUCAGAGAAACCUAAGAGGCCCGCCAAUAUGUCUUAAUCGCCACAAAGUGCUCAAUCCCUAACGACAUACCCUAGUCACAAGAUGUGAGAGUUCAUUCCGCAUCAACCACAUUUUUAAGGACAUUACAAGGGCAACAACAGAGUGCGAGGAUAUAAAGUCAGCAUACAGCAUACGUACUGGAUGCGCCCGAGCUUCUCAUCGACGGAGAUGGACUCCUGCGAGAGCACGCUGAGCUGCUCCAGCGAGUACGGGUGCUCCGGGUCCUUGAUGUCCCGCACCGUAUCUGACGCGCCGCGCCACGAAAGCACACACAUCCAUCAGCUCCAGCUACUCCGCGAAGCUAUGAACUAGCUGAGCAAGAACGGAAGAGAAGAAACCGAGCGAGGUGGACUCGCGAGGAGAGGACUGUGUUGCCGUACCGAAGACGUCGAGCGGGUCGAGCGCGUCGCCGGCGUGCGGGUGCGCGGCGCGCUCCGUCCGCUCGUGCACCACCGGGUUCGCGUUGAUCAUGCCCACCGUCAUCUUCCUCCUCCCCUUAAAUCGGAUGCGGUGGUGCGAAUUGAUUUGGGAGAGCAGAAUGGAGGAAGAGGGGAGAAGUGGAGAAGACAAGACGACGACGACCAAAAAAAAAGUUUCUAUGUCGGGUACCAUUGGCGCACAGUACACUUCCUGACGCGUCAAGUGGGCCAGCUCGUCUCCAUCUCGGCCCAUAAAGUCCCCAUAUCAGUCAGCCCGUAAAGAAAACGGUAAAGGUCCCAAUAUGGGCCUCGGCUCGGAUCACCCAAGCUCUUCUUCUUCCAGGACAUGCAAAAUGCCGCCCUGGCUGCCGGGGCCGCCGCGGCGCGGCCGGCGGCCAUGGCAGCGGCCGCCGCGGCCAGCGACCACUACGCGCGGCUGCUACAGCUUUGCCAGACCGCGGCGAACCCUUCGGUGGGCCGGGCCAUCCACGCGCACGCCAUCAAGGCUGGGCUCCUCGUCAGCGCAUACCUCUGCAACAACCUCCUCUCCUACUACGCCGGCGCCGGCGUGAUUGGUGGGCCCUUCCGAGAUGCGCGGCGUCUGUUCGACGAGAUCCCGGCGGCGCGGCGGAACGUGUUCACCUGGAACUCGCUCCUGUCGUUGUACGCCAAGUCUGGCCGCCUCGCGGACGCCCGCGCCGUGUUCGCCGAAAUGCCCGAGCGGGACGCGGUCUCCUGGACCGUCAUUGUCGUCGGGCUCAACCGCGCCGGCCGCUUCUGGGAGGCCGUGAAGACGUUUCUGGAUAUGGUUGGUGAGGGGCUGACGCCGACACAGUUCACGCUCACGAACGUGCUCUCGUCGUGUGCCGCGACGGAGGCCAGCGGGAUUGGGAGGAAGGUCCACUCCUUUGUCGUCAAGCUCGGGCUGAGUAGCUGUGUGCCCGUGGCCAAUUCGGUGCUCAACAUGUACGGCAAGUUUGGCGAUGCUGAAACAGCAAAGGCUGUGUUUGAGAGGAUGCCGGUGCGUAGCGUAUCAAGCUGGAAUGCCAUGGUGUCGCUGUACGCCCGCGAGGGUAGAAUGGACCUUGCUGUGUCCAUGUUUGAGGACAUGGAAGAACGAAGCAUUGUCUCUUGGAACGCCGUCAUAGCAGGGUACAACCAGAAUGGGCUUGAUGACAUGGCACUGAAGUUCUUCUCGCGAAUGCUGAGUGAUUCUUCCAUGGAUCCAGAUGCAUUCACAGUAACCAGUGUCUUAUCAGCUUGUGCUAACCUUCGCAUGCUGAAGAUGGGGAAGCAGAUGCACUCUUAUAUCUUGAGAACUGGAAUGCCAUACAGCGGUCAGAUCACAAAUGCUCUCAUCUCAACGUAUGCAAAGUCCGGAAGUGUUGAGACUGCAAGGAGGAUCAUGGACCAAGCAGUGAUUUCCGAUCUGAAUGUUAUCUCCUUCACUGCUCUCCUGGAAGGUUAUGUCAAGCUAGGGGACAUGAAGCAGGCAAGGGAAAUCUUUGACGUUAUGAACAAUCGAGAUGUCAUUGCCUGGACUGCAAUGAUUGUUGGCUACCAGCAGAAUGGUCAAAAUGAUGAGGCCGUGGAGCUCUUCAGGUCAAUGAUCAAAAGUGGCCCAGAACCAAACAGCUAUACGCUUGCUGCUAUUCUUAGUUCCUGUGCAAGCCUGGCAUGUCUUGAUUACGGAAAGCAGAUCCAGUGCAGGGCUAUCAGAUCAUUACAGGAGCAAUCUGUUUCUGUCAGCAAUGCCAUUAUCACAAUGUAUGCAAGGUCAGGCAGUGUGCCACUGGCGAGAAGGGUGUUUGAUCGGAUUCGCUGGCGCAAAGAGACAGUCACAUGGACAUCGAUGAUCGUGGCUUUGGCACAACAUGGUUUAGGAGAAGAAGCUGUUGGCCUUUUUGAACAAAUGCUUCGUGUUGGUGUGAAACCAGACCGCAUAACUUACAUUGGCCUGUUUUCAGCUUGCACACAUGCUGGUUUUGUUGACAAAGGGAAGAGGUACUAUGACCAGAUGCAGAAUGAGCAUGGCAUUGUACCAGAAAUGAGCCACUACGCGUGCAUGGUCGACCUCUUUGCCCGUGCUGGCCUGCUCACAGAAGCUCAGGAAUUCAUUCAACGAAUGCCUGUCGCGCCAGAUGCAAUAGUCUGGGGUUCACUCCUUUCAGCUUGCAGAGUGCGAAAGAAUGCAGAUUUAGCAGAACUCGCAGCAGAGAAGCUGCUGGCGAUUGAUCCGGAUAACAGUGGCGCCUACUCUGCUCUUGCCAAUGUCUAUUCUGCCUGUGGGAGGUGGAAUGAUGCGGCAAGGAUCUGGAAGCUGAGGAAGGACAAGGCAGUGAAGAAAGAGACUGGUUUCAGCUGGACUCAUGUACACAACAAGGUCCACGUCUUUGGAGCAGACGAUGUACUGCAUCCACAGAGGAAUGCGAUCUACAAGAAGGCAGCUGAAAUGUGGGAGGAGAUCAAGAAGGCAGGAUUUGUCCCCGACCUGAACUCUGUCCUGCAUGACGUCGAUGACGAGCUGAAGGAGGAGUUGCUGAGCCGCCACAGCGAGAAGCUUGCCAUUGCGUUCGGUCUCAUCAGCACGCCGGAGAAGACGACACUACGAAUCAUGAAGAAUCUCCGGGUUUGCAAUGACUGCCACAUGGCGAUCAAGUUCAUCUCCAAGGUUGUUGAGAGGGAGAUCAUAGUGCGAGAUGCGACGAGAUUUCAUCAUUUCAGAGAUGGGUUCUGCUCCUGUAAAGAUUAUUGGUAGGAAACCUUGUGUCGCAAGUUGAAUGCGAGAAAGAAAUGUUCCUUUUCUUUAUGAUUCCUACGUUGUGGGCUGUGUGCAAUAAAUUCUGGAGUCAAUGGUCGAUAUAUGUAACUUAACCAUUCAGGUUAGAUGGCUAACUUUGUAAUAUGUCAUGCUAACUUUGGGUGACAUUGUUUUAUUGUCAGAAAGCGUAAGGGCAUAGAACAUGGAUUACGUGUGUACCUUGGAUCUAUUCAUUGUUUUGUAAACGCAGUAACAAUGAUACUGUUAAUGUGAAUAUUCAUCAUCUUCCCCCUCAAUUUCAGUUUAUGCACAUAACUCUUAAAACUUGAGGAAAUGUUUACUGUUGUUCAUGUUAUCAUCCUUUCCACGAAGGAUUGUUGCAUUAUACCGAUGUUUUCUUUGAUUUAUUGGUUUUCGGAGAAUCAUGGUCACGUCAACAGAAAGAAACUAUGGCAGUUCGGCACAAAAUUUCAAAAAUCGAGUCAUCAAAAGGGCUUGCAAGUGCAAGCAACUCAUAAGGUGAUACUGCAUGGCCCAACUGAUACAAACAUGUCCACUGAUGGAAAAUCCAAGCAAAUGUCCCUAGAACAACAAAGCACUUGUUGAAGCUUCAAGAACACCAGGAUCUUAAAAGCAUAAUUGUAGCAUGCCAACUCACUAAAUCUGUGUUAGUAAGAGUGCUGAACAUAGUGAACCUAUUCCAAGGAACAGAAUGGUGAUCCUUCAAAAUGGUCAUGAAUGUUAAUCGCUGAGAUUGACCUCACUCAGAGCCCACAUCAACACCCUUCUUUGCUAAGAAUUCCUUUGCUUCCACAAUAUCCUGAACAGUAAGCCAAGCUCAAACAUGUCAGUAAACUGAGUAUAUGGCCUUGCAGCGUGCGCGCGCGCACACAAACACCAUUUGGCAUGGAUUUCUUUGUCAUGGUCAGCAUGAAGAUCUAUAUGACGUGCUGGAAAGAAAGCUCAACAAGUUUCCACAGUUCCUUGUUUAGUCAUGGAUAUAUUAAGAAACAUAGUCCCUGGAACUAAAAUAGCUAACCUGUUGUAGUAGUAUAGCUUCUUGAGGACAAGUUGGGAAGAACAUAAGUCCAAAUCCAACCAUAAAAAGUCCGUAACAUCCAAGAGCCACUACCAAGUAGAUGGGGAGCUGAAACAGCAACAGCAAAAUUCAUAACACAUUACCAAUCACCUUGCAGUAUAUUUUUGAGAAAUUUACAAGUGAAAACCAGUGACACUGACCAGCCAAGUAUAACUUCGAGGAAUAGUUGAGGUUUCAAGGAGAGCAAUCCAGAUGGAUGAGAUCGCUACCAGUAUUGCAACAAUCUUGAAUAUGUGCUUCAUUUGGGAAUGGUGUGCUUUCCUACAAUACAAAAUAUAGCUGAAUGCUAUGGACAAUCAAUUCGUUUUCCUAACACAUAAGCAGUUGCACAGUUUAAUUUGACACAUGUUUAUGCUGGCAGUUGUGGGUUUUUCUACCACACUCUAGAUGUAUUUAAGCUGGGAAAAAUGCAUAUAGACCAUGAACAAUCCACACCAGUCAAGGAAUCCAGUGGGCUGAGGAAUAGAUAUCAAAAAGAAGGAUCAAGCACAUCUAGAUCGAGCGGUGAUCCUAUACACCUUUUGGUUGAAUAGCACCUAAGCAUGUGGAUUGUUGUGGGAGUCUUCGUAAUUUCGUCAACACAUCUAGCUCACUCAGGAGCAUUAACUCAUGCUUGUGAUUUUGUGCAUGCUUGUCAGUACUCAAGUCUAACUCAUGGGAUGAUAAGUUGAUCCUGGAAGCACUCACGUGAGAAGGUUUUUUUUCCCCUUUUGUUCUAGUAGGGGUUAAAAGCAAUCAUAGGUGAGCAGGGAUAAAUCUACAGAGGGACUGUAGUAACAUACACUGGACUGUGGAUCUGUCCUUUGCAAAUUUCAAUGACAAAUGGCCAAUUUCAUAGAUAGGCAGUAUAAUUGUAUGACUCAGUGAGAUAGGCAAAUUUCAAUGACAGAUGCAGAUUUAGAGAACAAAACAGGAUUUAGCAAUCCACCGCGCAGCAAAGAAAUCCCCAAAUCAGCGAACUGCAAUAAUUAGAGUAUCCAUUCCAGAAAUUAGAGAAGGAUUUGGAUUCUAUUGCUCUAAUCAAAGAGAGAAGACCAGCACCAAGCUGACUCUUAGAACAGUCGAUCCAAGCACGAUAGGGGUUCCUUACCACAACGGAUGAAUCAAUCCAGGUCCGGAUCGAUCGGCGCACCUGGGGCAGCAGCAGCGCGCAGGAGGCGGCGGGCAGCGACAACAGGAGCGGAAUUCCAGCCGACGAGCUCCCGUCGCAGGAUCCUUCGGGAGGCGUGCGUCGGCGAGGUCAGGCGGAAUGGUUCGUUGGGCGAUGGCGGAAACCGGGAUGCGGGGCACGCGGACGAGGGGAGGAACAAGGUCUGGGGACGGCAAUGGAAAGUAUAAAUAGGGCGUUCUUUCCCUCCUAGCUAUAGGUUUCUCAUGUAGAAAAUUGCAAAUUGUAGAAUUAUUUUUGUGAAUCAAACCAUUUUAUGUUUGAUCAAAAUUGUAGAGAGGUAUUACAAAGAUUUAGGCACCGAAUAGAUAUACUGUGAAAAUAUAUUUGAUGAAGAAUCUAACAGUACUUAUUUGAUACGUUAGUACUUUAUUGUAUAAAUGGUCAAACUUGAGAUAUUUGAUUUUAAAAAAAAAUUAGAAUGACUUACUACGCUAGUAUAAAUUUGGUCAAACUAUCAAGCUACAUUGGUAGGUUGGAUCUAAAGGAUCUACUGUGCUCUCAAAUAGAGAUAAGCUGCUAGACUAUGUCGGAUAAUAAAUUCAAUAAUUAAAAGAAAAACUAAUGCAGUGGCAUAGGUUCUGGAGCAAUGUGUUAAAAUCAUGAUCAAAUAAAGAGAGGGGUGGCUCGAUUUCGACAGCGGGAAGGAAAGGAAGGGGUGCAAUGGCAGAUUCAGUGAUCUCGUAACUGACCCAUCCAUCUCUACCCUCUAAAUCCAAUCCAAUGGCUGUCCUUCGUCUUGGAUCAAAAGAAAGGAAAAAAGUUGUUGAACCCACCUGUCAGAAUCUCCUCCUUCCCGACUCGUCCGACGAGCCGCGUUGCGACAUGUUACACGGAUACGUCAAAGUGGUCACGUAUCAACUCGACAACUCGCAUAACAGUACAUAAUUUACACUGCUUUUCAAAAUCUCAGUUGUAAAUUUGCGCGGUCAUCGAUCAAUUAGGGAACAAAAUGCACGUACCAAUAAAAACGAUAAAAAUGCAUCUCCGGAAAGUAAAGUCGCACAAAAAGAGAAAAAUACAUGGACUUGGAAGCCCCCCACUUCAAAAAUUCUUGCUUCCACAAUUUUAGCUUCUAUAUAAAUUGCAGUAACAUAGGCCUGUCUUUUGGCAGCAAAAAAGCUUCAUGUUUCUCCAGAAGAUUGGUGUACAUUGCCGUAUGCUGACGAAUUAACCUUUGAGUGCAGCAGUUCCAUGGCGCCUUUCCUUCUUGAAACGAGAUUGAUCCGGAUCGAAGCCACCUUCCUCUGCACCAUAGACAGCCCAUGAGGGUGUCAAGGCCAUGUAAUCUUGGCUCUUGAAAGGCUUUCCGGAUGUUACCUGCAUUGGUGAAUGAGUGGUCAGUUCAGAGAUGGGAAUAUCACCUUGGGCGUGCCACAGAAUAGUUGUUCAGGAAAGGUCACCAGUUCGUGGAAUCGGUCAUAAUCUAUCCAGGUAUGCCAUUUGCCGUUGAUCUUAAACUUAUCCACCUUUGCAAGCAGGACGCAGCAUGAAUGAGCAUGCUCACACGCUACUUCAUAAACACCACCGCUUUUAGAUGCCAAAACCUCAGAGAAUUCCUUUACAUCUGAAUGCCAGGGAACAUUCUCCAUUGUCAACUUCGAAGUUGCUGACCUGUACAUUAUAGUAACAUGUAAGUUGAUGUAACAUGAGCAAAUCAGCAAACCAAAAGGUGAAGGUAUAAUCAGUGGGUACAAAACCAAAAUGGAACUUACGAGCCACAGUAUGUUACACCCUUGAUUUCAAUGAAAUCAGGUUGUCCAAGGUUUAGCAAUUUGGCAUAUGCAUCUAUCUCCUCUGCAUUCCAGCCUUUAACCAGUGUCAGACGGUAAACCGUUCGUUGAUCUUUCUCGUGUAGGGACUUGAGCGAAUCCUAGUGACACAACAAAGCAUAAGACAUACAGAUACAAGGUUAGUAUUGGCAUAUGAAUCAUGAUGAACAUUGGGAAGUCUUUUAUAUCUAUACCAGGAAACGCUCCCAGAAGUCUGAGAAUAGUGGCCUGUCAACAGCCUUCAAGCUUUCCUUUGUAGCUGCAUCCACACUGACAUACAGCUGCAAGUGUAUUGAUAUUGUCAGCAACCUUUAGAAGUUGUUGAAUUUUCAAACACUAAGAUCUGGAACUUAGUGCAAUCUGUUGAGAAUAUGACCUGUGUGAUUGGUUUCAACGUCUUAAUCUUUUCAGGAAAUUGAGCAUUUGUAACCAGAAAAGUAGAUAUGUGCCUGCGGUGUAGCUCAUCAACCAGAGCAUUUAUCUCAGGGUACAUUAUUGGUUCACCAACCAGAGAUAAUGCACAAUGCCUAGGUGAUAGACCCUCUUCUAGUUUUUCUGGCUUUACUCCUGAAAAUGCAAGAACAGUAUUUUAUCCAAUAAAGACUGUACAAAAGUUUCUGAACUGAACAGCAUUAAUGUCAGAUGUAGGUUGCUUGAUGUUGCCUAAGCAUAGUCAGGCUAAGAGAAUAAUAAACGGCGGAUGCAUUCCUAUAAUCUCUUAGGCCAUGUUUGGAAAGGAGGCUUUAGGAAUUGAAUCCUUAGGAUGUAGUACAACUGUGAACUAAAUCCUGAAAAUUCCUAGAACAUUCCCCUUCUUCCAAACAGGCCCUUAGUAAGUGUUUUUACAAGGAUUAAAUGCUUAUAGAUGUAAGCUUUAUUUAAGUUAUUUCUAGUUCAAGCAAGGAACUCUUGCAGGCAUUUGGAAUGACAUGGUCCAAUCUGCCUGAAGUGGAUUCAGUUAGGGUUGAGGGGGAGAGAUCGCCAGGGCCUCAGCCCACAGCUGAGCAAGAUGAAGGCUUUUCCUUCUUAAUUCUUGUAUUGCUUGCUUUCUAAAGAAAUAUGCUAGGCAUAUAUAUAGCUGGCCACAGUACAUAAUGAUUUAACAAACCCAUUACUAAACUAACAACCUUAGCUGACCAACCUGAUUUGCCUAACCAAUCUGCUAACUUAACAAUUGAGAAACUAAAUAAACACAGAAAUGCUGAUAGAUGGUAUAUCUCUAAGCCAUGUAUGCCAGGCUAGUAGCACCAUCACUGACGUCCAUAACUCCAUCCUGGAGUUUUUGUUUGGCAGUAUGAUACACAGUGCAUUGCUCAAGCAAGAAGCAACCACUAAUAUAGUUCAUAUGGGUGAGCGCACAUACCUGGUACACCUUUCAUUUGCUUAAUCAUCUUAGUGUGCUGAUCAAUUGCGGCAUUUGCAAUGUCAAGUGGGUUAUCCAUCUUCCAUUUCCAACUCUUUCCAACAGGAUUCGUGUGAUGCCUCCAACAAAAUACACAUUUAUUGGCACAAGCCAAACUUGGAGUUGCCUCCAUGCAUCUGCCAAAUGAUCAUAUAAAUAGCAAGCAAAUUAUCAAGGCUGUCAAUAUAUUUUCAAAUAAAAAAUUAGUUAUGGUUUUUGUAUUCAGUUUAAGCAGUAAAUAUUGAAUAAUUUAAUAUUAAAAAUAAAACUAAUUGCAAAGCCAGGCCACCUAAUUUGCAAGCACUAGAAAUACACUGUUGCAUAAGAAAAAGGUUUCACCUGUGACUUUCUAUGCCAUAAAAUGAAUGCUUAUAGCACCCUCCACGGCCUCGGAGUUGCGACUUAGUCCAUCUACAAAUCUUCACUCCACUAUGAGAACCAAGAAUUUUGUAACCCUGCAACACACACAAAAUGUGGAUUGGUACACUAUAAACAUAGUAGAAUUACAGAAUGAACCCCAACUACAUGCAACAUAGAAAUACAUAACCCUGCCGCAUCAGCUAAAGCUAAUAAUUAUAAAUAUCAAACAUCAUCAAAGUAUGCCACCCACAUCAUGCAAGAACACGUUAGUGCAACAGCAGCAGCAACCUCAAUGUUCACCAACAUGAAUCUGAGCAUCACUAUGAAUUGUCCUGAAGGUUUAAUCAGAAGUAUCUGCAUGAUAUUUGGUUGCUUGCAUGCUUCUCAAAUCCCUUAUACUGUUAUACUGAAGAUGAUUAACUAUUCCACAGAAUGCAUUCAGCAUUUGAAAGAUAGUUAAAUGAAAUUCUAUAAUAAGAGAACUACUUCCAGAAUUAUGGUUGUAAUCACAAAUCAUCAUCAAUCCUCAGACUUUCAAAGUAAAAAAACUUAACUAAUCUCUUAUUUAUACGAUCAAUUCCAGGCCCAUAACUGCAUGCACAUGACAAUGACAAAUUGUGUCAUUUUUCCUUUCAAUACACACUGGAGGUUAUCAAGUGCCUUAUAGCUCCAAAUACAACUGUGCAAUACAGAUAGUACUCUGUGUAUGACAAAAUGUAAGAAACACUCACUUGCUUCUCCAAGCUCGUCCUGAUGAUUGGUGUGACCAUCUCCUUCACACCGUUCUGCCCUCCAUUAGCCAAACUACCCUCCACCUUCCCGUUCUGCCUCGCCGGCGCCUUUCCAGCAAUGUCUUCCAUGUCAAUCUCCACAGCCACCGUCUCCUCUUCGUCGUCGUCAUCAGACUCCUCUCCUUCCAAUUCCAACUCAUCAAGCCCGUCGCUCUCUCCCAAAACCCCCUCGUUUAAUUCCUCCCCCUUCACCACCCUCAGCACCUUCCCACUCCAAUCCUCGAACACCGCCUCGAGUUCGCCACCAUCCACAUCGCCCUCCCCGAGGGGGACCACCUCAACGGCGCCGAGCGCGCGCAGCCACCGCGAGAAGUUCCUAGAGGCGGCGUUGAAGGUCUCCCCAUAGACCCGGGACCCGACCCCGAAGACGGCGAAGCGAAGACCGGAUAGCAGGAGCGCCCCCGCGCGGAAGUCGGCGGUCGACUCCUCGAGCCAGCGAGCUAGGAAGGCCGCGGAGGGUGGCGGCGCGCCACCGUCGUGGGUGGGGACGACAAGGAGGAGGAGCGGGACGGAGGGGAGGUCGUCGGGUUCGAAGGAGGAAGCGUCAGUGGCGAGGAUGGGAACGCCGGCGUUGGCGGUCAGUCGGUCGGAGAGGCGCGUGGCGAGGGUCUUGGAGGUCCCGGUGACGGAGGCGUAGAGGAGGGUCGGGGUGGUGGUGCGGGCGGGGCCGCUGGCGGGGGAAGGUUUGCGGCGGAGGCGGAUAGAUUUGUAGAGGAAGAAUAGCGAGGAAGAGGAGAGGAGGACGAGGAGGGCGAGGUGGGAGGUGGCGGAGGCGGUGGUCGCCGUCGGGAAGGGAGGCAUCGCGGCGGCGGUGCGUGUGGGAGGUGCCGAUUCGGCCCUUGGGUUUUGGGGGGUUUUGGAAACUCGCCUUUGGGCUCUGGACUCUGGUAGGCUGGGCCGCAGGUAUGUGAUUGGUGAGAUCAUCAUCAUCAAAGAAAAAUGCACAAACUGACAUGAACUUGUGCAACUUCAAACUUGAAUCUUUGAUCGUAGGAGGAAUUUCUGUGCAAAGGUUGCAGUAGCUACACUGAUAACAUAUUGACCUAUGAACAAGGAGUUAAUCCGAGUAUCUGACAACUGAACAUCACCACGCAUCUAACUGAUCAUGUCAUGGGAGCAAAGGAGUCAUGGACAUGGUAAAUCGCUGCUCUCUCCUGGACAAAUUGAAGACCAGAACAGCUCAAAAUGAGAGCAAAAUACACAUUGCAAAACUUUGCUGUUUACCUGCAUUUUACACAGCAAAUGUUCAGGUGUUUGAAUCUUUACAAAUUGUUGCAACUUACAACAACACCAAGCAGUUGAUUCAGUGUUACAAUCUUUACAUAUUGUUACAUUUUGAAACAACAAGAAGCUUGUAUCUUGUACAACACUGUCUACAGAAUAAGAAUCCUUUCUCCGAACCUGACGUUGCUUCAGAGGAACUGAUCAAUGUAACGCCAACCACAUCCAACCAUCAGUUUGGGCUAAAACUUGCCAACUGAUUAGUUGUAGAUGGUUAGCAUAUUGUGGCAUGCAACGAAUGAACAAAUUUUUGUACAUAUAUCCCUGAUUCACAACUGAUUAUAUCACACACCCAGGGGAAAUCAACAGCAGGAUCACUCAAAAAUUGGGCUGGAAUUCAAAGGUUAGCUUAUGGCCGCCAUGUUGUUUUCUUUACAGACAUGAUGCCCUCCUUGUCCUUUCGGAAUGUCAUGACAAUUUCCCAGUGUAGCGACUUCAAAAUGGUCUCCAAUGGGUCAAGGAUCUCAAGUUUAUCUCGGAUGAUGGCCCAAGCUCCAGGCCUCAAAAUUCGAUCCAUCUCAACAACAAUCGCCACAGGUUGCCUACAUCUACACAACACCAGAAUUGCAUAUCAAGAGUUGCACUUAGUUACACUGUAAUAGGCCUUUUUGGGGUAACAUAAGUAAACGUAUGCGCGGACCUAUCGUAGAUAUAGAGUUAGGACCUUAAGAAUUCAUUGCAAAGU